AGAAAGAAGACAAUUACAAAAAACUCAUCUCUCAGCUGAGAAAUUUGUGCCAUGGUUUUGACAGGGCCAUCAUUACCCAGGCCAACACUCCAGUAGGAUCAAAGAUUUGGUACUCUCUAGGAGGGAGAAAGACCCUACAGGUGACAACGUAGAUUUUCAGCACCUUUCAAAGGAAAAUCUGUUUCAAAAUAAAACAUGGGACACGUGUGCUGUCGUUGGGAACUCAGGGAUUCUGACCAACAUCAGCUGUGGAGAGAUGAUCGAUUCAGCUCAGUUUGUUAUCAGGUGCAACUUACCUUCUUUGGGAAAAG